CCAAUAACUAACUUCUCAGAUUGGGGAAUACUACUGACCAGAUCGUCCAAGUCCUCCCAAAAGUGCCUCUUAGCCUCCUCGUCUAAGCCCACUUGCGGUGCGUAAGUGCUGAUGACGUUGAGGACGCAACACCCAAUAACCAACUUAAUAGACAUUAACCUAUCAUUCACACGCCUAACCUCGACCACAGACUCCCUUAGAUCCCUAUC
rnacentral:lncRNA from 1 species